AGAAUACUCACAAAAUGGUUACUCAACAGACAUCGUUGACCAAAACUUCACAAAAGCAGCGGUUGGCUGUCGACCUCUACUCACUUUAACAAGGAUAAUCAAGAUGAUUUGCUGCUGUCCCUUUUUAAAAAAGAUAUGUAAAAAUGUUGUGGGUGUGGAGGCAGAUGAGAGUCAGCAGACACUUGUCUCUCAGAUAAGGUUUUGGAGAUCAGGCUGCUCAGACACAAGAAGAUCAGGUGUCUUGGAGCCUCCUGACGCUGAAGGACUUCGUCAGGGCCAUCAGACGCCAGGAGCAUCUCUGGACUUUGAUCCCAGAGGCUGCAGUAAUCAGAGCAUUUAUGGACAUCCAAAGGUCUCACCUCUCAGGUGAUGUCAGUCACAAAAUCGAUCUCCUAAUUGCAUUCAAGAGCACGAUUUGUUCUCAGAAGUUCCAGGAUUAUGACCAGAAGGAUUCGCACGAGUUUCUCACCUGCGUGCUGCAGCAGAUGAGAUGCUUAAGCCCAAAGCUUCAGAUGAUGGCUGCCAUCCAGGGCCGACCCUACAGCUGUCUUGUGGAGGAUCACAUUGUCUUUAAAAUGGCCAACACCCGGACCGGCAAGGAGUGCGAGACAGAAUCCACCUGAGAGGACCAGUUCACCAACCUCUCCCUGAACGUGGUCACUGGAGACGUAAGCGUGCAGCAGAUGCUCCAGGAUUACAUGAUGGAGAAAAACGUGGGCUACAACUGUGAAUGCGGAGCCAGCACCUCAGGGUGCUGUUCUUGCACCUAACGCGCUUUAGGUUUACUGCACCCUCCCAACUUGAAAAGGUACAUGAAUCAGUCGUUAUCCUCAGAGAGCUGGUGGUGAGAUCUAACCCGGAUUGCGGCCACUACAGUCUGGUCAGUACCAUCAACCACAUCGGCAUCACAGCAAGAUGCGGGCACUACAGCUGUGACGGGGUGGAUCCAGAUGUGGAAGAGGAGUACCAAGCUAACUGCUGGUUCUACUACAACGACGCAGAGGUCACUAAAACAAGCACACACUCUGUGUGCAACAAGCUGAAAAACUCCUGCUACAUACUUUCCUACAGAAGACAGGUCAGAGACAGACGCUGUAAACACAUCGGCAGGAGUGGGGGUGCGACAGGGUCAGUGUCCAGAGGACAGAACAUGGGACCGCGUCCAGUGGAUGGAUGAUGCGUGUGUUCCGAGCAUAAUAAAAU
ensembl:lncRNA